rnacentral:rRNA from 1 species
GACAGAGGCCCCGAGCGUUAGUCUGAAUCACUGGGCUUAAAGGGUGCGUAGGCGGGCGUGUAAGUGUCUCGUGAAAGCCCCGGGCUCAACCCGGGAACCGCGGGGCAUACUGCACGUCUCGAGGAAACUAGAGGCCGGUAGAACGAUCGGUGGAGCGGUGGAAUGCGUAGAGAUCGAUCGGAACGCCAAGGGUGAAGACAGCCGGCUGGGGUUUUCCUGACGCUGAGGCACGAAAGCGUGGGGAUCAAACAGG